CCCUAUCUCCCAUGUGCUGCUCCUCAGGACUGCAUUUUCCCUGCAAUUCAGAGACCAGAACAAAAUAAUAAUUUAUGAGUGUCAAUAAUUCAUUGGGAUCCUGGGGGUGUUUUUCCUCAUGGUUGUAAAUGAUGACUACCUGGAACUUCAUGAUUUCCUUCCAUACAAUUAAAGGAACAGCUGGAGUGAUUCCUGAAGAAUGUUGUGUCCUUCUCCACUGUUAGCUCUGCGUGGAAUCCUCUGGAAUGUGGACUUGGAAGCCCUUAUGGAGCCAGCAGGGACAGAGAGGAGAUAACUGGGACAGCAUGAAACUGAUCCCAUUGGUGGGUGACACCAACAGCCAAGUUCAGAGUCCUUAUCACAAUGGGAGCAGGAAAGUGAUACAGAAAGAAAAUUCACCUCCAAGCCAGCAACAAGAAUUUGCCAUAGUGAACAUGGAAAAGAGGAUGGAACAGCUGAGAGGAGGGGGAAUUAAGCACAUUUUAAACUUUUAAAUUAAAAUAAAAACCAAACAAAACAACCCAGCUGGAUGACAGAGGGGAAAAAAGAGAAAAAGUGAAGGGGAAAGAACACAAACUCAGCAAAGUUCCAGUGUCCUCUGAAGAUUGCUGAUGCUCAGAGAUUGAGAGAGCCCAGAUUUCAUUUCUUGGCAGCUCAGCCAAGCAGGACAAUCCCUAGGGAUCAGCUCCAGCUCCAGAGUGCAUUUGGGUUUUGUCCCAGGUGAAGACUCCUCAGGGACCUGCUCACCUCAACCUUCAGCUCCUCAGCAAUCAGCUCAUUCAUUCCCACCCAUGAAGUUCUUCUGCAGCUUAACCAAUCCAUGAUUUUAAGGAAUUUUCUGUCUUAAGCUUUCAUGGCUUUUUUGGGCCUUUUCUCAGUUUUUUUCAUUAUUGCCACCUGCAUGGAAAGAGGGAAAUGGUUGUGUUUAAAGCACCUGUGAAAUCAUAAAGCAGCUGUGAAAUGAAAUAUUUGGAAACCAAUGAGACUCAACUCUGCUCUUCUCAUGGUCUCGCUUUCAGUACUUUUCUGUGUCAUGUUUUAUCACUCAUGACCAGCAUCACAGAAUUUAAUUGUAUCAAUUUUAUUCAGCAGAGCAAAGGAGCUUGGCUUCAAGCAUAUUUAGGAACUAAAACUUCCGUGGGAUAUUUAAUCUCAUUUUGAAAUCUAUGCCUUGGGUGUGUUGCAGAAGAGCCCACGAGGGUUCCUCAUCCCAAUUCCUUCUGUCCCUGUGCAUGAACACAUCUUCCUCUUUCCCAGUCUUUUUUCCUACAGAAAUUGUUCCUUGUGCCAACCUGUGAACAAGAUAAAGAAUUCCACUGAUGUUCUCCAGAACUGGAAUGGUUUGGGUUGGAAGGGACCUUAAAGAUCAACUCAUUCCAAUACAGAGACAC